AGGAUAGAGGUUGCGGUUUUCUAUCACUAGUCUAAAUGUUUAAAGGUUGGUACCCGUUGUUUAGAUGAAAGGAGAAAUCGCCGAAGGAGUUUGCUACCAAUAAGCUCCUGGGUCAACAUAGAAUAUGUGUUGGACUGUCACAAUUUGUGGAGAGCUAUCAG
rnacentral:ncRNA from 1 species